rnacentral:rRNA from 1 species
UACGGAGGGGGCUAGCGUUGUUCGGAAUUACUGGGCGUAAAGCGCACGUAGGCGGCUUUGUAAGUUAGAGGUGAAAGCCCAGGGCUCAACCCUGGAAUUGCCUUCGAUACUGUCUGGCUAGAGACCGGAAGAGGUAAGUGGAACUGCGAGUGUAGAGGUGAAAUUCGUAGAUAUUCGCAAGAACACCAGUGGCGAAGGCGGCUUACUGGUCCGGUUCUGACGCUGAGGCGCGAAAGCGUGGGGAGCAAACAGG